ACAGGAGAAAAGAGGGUCUCCUUCUCAAGACCCCUAAAUCCAUCAAAUUGAUCAAAAUCAAGCUAAGAAAAUUGGGGCUUUAACUAAAUUCGUGAUCACCCAAGUGAAGGGAUCACAAGUUUGACGCUUAACGAGCUAGGUGGCGGCUUGGGAAACGAAGCAAGUCAAACGGAUCGGGUGCGCGGAAAAGAACAUAACCGGAUGCAAUGUGAAGGUCAAGAGUACCCGGAUGGAGAUCAAGCGACGAAAAGGACGGAACACUCAUCAUUUGAAGCUUCCGCUAAGAGAUCAUUAUGUUUUAUUUUAAAAUGAUCUAUGUAAACAAUUGUUACUUUAAUUUGAAAACUCUACUUCUGUAUGAA